GUGGACUCUCAAACGUGAGGUAAGAGCAUUUGGUGGAUGCCUUGGCAUGCACAGGCGAUGAAGGACGUGGCACGCUGCGAUAAGCGUCGGUGAGGUGUGAGCAACCUUUGACCCGACGAUUUCCGAAUGGGGAAACCCAUCCUUACCAUUUAAUCCUUGUCCCGGACUUGAUCCGGGAUCUGGGUUAAAUGGGAAAGGAUAUUACCUUGGUGAAUAAAAUAGCCUUGGUAAAGCGAACCCGGAGAACUGAAACAUCUCAGUACCCGGAGGAAAAGACAUCAACCGAGAUUCCGUUAGUAGUGGCGAGCGAACGCGGACCAGGCCAAUGCCUGGUGUUUAAUUAGCAGAAGCCUCUGGAAAGUGGCGCCAUAGCGGGUGACAGCCCCGUAUGCGAAAAUAGGACAUCAGGAUUCGAGUAGGGCGGGGCACGUGAAACCCUGUCUGAACAUGGGGGGACCACCCUCCAAGCCUAAAUACUCGUGCAUGACCGAUAGCGAACUAGUACCGUGAGGGAAAGGUGAAAAGCACCCCGAUGAGGGGAGUGAAACAGUACCUGAAACCGAAUGCUUACAAGCAGUUGGAGCCUCUUUAUGGGGUGACAGCGUACCUCUUGCAUAAUGGGUCUGUGACUUAGUGUAUCAAGCAAGCUUAAGCCGAUAGGUGUAGGCGCAGCGAAAGCGAGUCUUAAUAGGGCGACAGAGUUUGAUGCAUUAGACCCGAAACCCGGCGAUCUAGGCAUGACCAGGUUGAAGGUGGGGUAACACCCACUGGAGGACCGAACCGUUUAAUGUUGAAAAAUUAUCGGAUGAGUUGUGUUUAGGGGUGAAAGGCCAAUCAAGCCGGGAAAUAGCUGGUUCUCCGCGAAAUCUAUUGAGGUAGAGCCUUGGAUGAAUACCGUUGGGGGUAGAGCACUGGAUGGAUGCGGGGGUCGCGAGAUCUACCAACUCUAACCAAACUCCGAAUACCAACGAGUACUGUCCAGGAGACAGACGGCGGGUGCUAAGGUCCGUCGUCAAAAGGGAAACAGCCCUGACCUACAGCUAAGGUCCCCAAGUCACGUCUAAGUGGGAAAGCAUGUGGGAUCUCCAAAACAACCAGGAGGUUGGCUUAGAAGCAGCCAUCCUUUAAAGAAAGCGUAACAGCUCACUGGUCUAGAUAAGAGAUCCUGCGGCGAAGAUGUAACGGGGCUCAAGACGUGCACCGAAGCUUAGGGUGUGGAUUUAUCCACGCGGUAGCGGAGCGUUCCGUAAGCCUGUGAAGCCGAAGGGUAACCGACGGUGGAGGUAUCGGAAGUGCGAAUGCAGACAUGAGUAGCGAUAAAGAGGGUGAGAUGCCCUCUCGCCGAAAGACCAAGGGUUCCUGCUUAAAGCUAAUCUGAGCAGGGUGAGCCGGCCCCUAAGACGAGCCCGAAGGGGGUAGUCGAUGGGAACCACGUUAAUAUUCGUGGGCCUGGUGGUGUGUGACGGAUCUCGUAUGUUGUACGUCCUUAACGGAUUGGACGUGCUUCGAAGAGGUUCCAGGAAAUAGCCCCACCGUAUAGACCGUACCCGAAACCGACACAGGUGGUCUGGUAGAGUAUACCAAGGCGCUUGAGAGAAGUGUACUGAAGGAACUCGGCAAAUUGCCUCCGUACCUUCGGAAGAAGGAGGCCCCACAUCAAGGCAACUUUUUGUGGGGGCACAGGCCAGGGGGUAGCGACUGUUUAGCAAAAACACAGGGCUCUGCUAAGUCGGCUUCAAGACGACGUAUAGGGCCUGACGCCUGCCCGGUGCCUGAAGGUUAAGUGGAGGGGUGCAAGCUCCGAAAUGAAGCCCAGGUAAACGGCGGCCGUAACUAUAACGGUCCUAAGGUAGCGAAAUUCCUUGUCGGGUAAGUUCCGACCUGCACGAAUGGCGUAACGACUUCCCCACUGUCUCCAGUACAUGCUCAGCGAAAUUGAAUUCUCCGUGAAGAUGCGGAGUACCCGCGGUUAGACGGAAAGACCCCGUGCACCUUUACUGCAGCUUCAGAGUGGCAUUAGGAAAGAAUUGUGUAGCAUAGGUGGGAGGCUUUGAAGCCGGGGCGCCAGCCCUGGUGGAGCCAUAGGUGAAAUACCACCCUGUUGUUUUCUGAUGUCUAACCCAGCACCGUUAUCCGGUGCGGGGACCCUCUGUGGCGG
rnacentral:rRNA from 1 species